rnacentral:rRNA from 1 species
GGGUGCGAUCAUAUCAGCUUUAAUGCACUUGAUCCCAUAAAAAUUAUGUAGUUAAGCACGUUUGAGUUAGAGUAGUAGUGAAAUAGGUGACCUCUUAGAAAGUUCUAGUGUUACACCUU